CAUAUAUAUGAUUAUUUUCUACAUUCCAUCAUUAAUUUCUUUUGUUUCAACGACACCCAUUGUGCAAUUGCUUCAAGAAACCAAUAAAGUAAAGCAAUUACUUAUUAUGACAUCAUCGCUUUAUAUAUACGUGUAUAUAGAUAUAGAUAUAUAAAGAACGGAAAUAAACAACAGGUGAUUCCAGGAUUCGAUGAAUGACGUAGUUCAUAAAAAUAUAUGUAUAUAAUAUCCAAUGAGAAGGAUUUCCCAGAAGUAUGACACAUUGUUUAAGAUUUCGUGCAAUGCUAUGAUUCGUGCAAAUUGAUGAUACAUAGAUAUACAUUUAAUGCGAUACGAAGAAAAAAAAACAAAUAAGGAAAGAAAGAAAAUUUGAGUAACGCGCAUACGCAAACGAUCUGUUCAUUUAACUGGAUCUCUUUAUGAGUACAAGAGAGAGACAAUAAUAAUAAUAAUAAUAAUAUUGAAUAAUACACUUGAUUGCAACAAGUUAAACGAUUGUUGCGAAAUAAAGAUAUAUGUGAAAAUUGUAAUAAUUGUUAGAUACAUUCUCCAUAUGUUGCACGUUUCUUGAAAUAAUGUAUAAAAGUUGAAAAGGAGGGAUAUAGGCAAAAGAUCACGUGGCAGUAACGCGCCAUCGAUAAGCGAGCUUGGUAAAUGUCAAGAGGAAAGGGGAAUACGGCGCGAACGUAUAUAAUCCUCCGCUCACGUUCCACCACCCAAUUCUGCUUGGACUUUGAACACGUGUACGUGCGUGCCUUCAGAAGAGGGAAAGUUUUUAUUUGUUUGGUGCGCUCAUUGUAUGGAGCGAGAGAAGAG